GCACUGCGCCGCCCCAUUCCUGGUGAGGGGACCCCAAAAACGACCCUAAAAGGACCCUAAAAGGACCCUAAAUGGCCCUAAAUGGCCCUAUAUGGCUCUAAAUGGCCCUAAAAUGGACCCUAAAUGGACCCAAGUGGCCCCAAAAUGGACCCUAAAUGAACCCAAAGGCACUGCGCCGCCCCAUUCCUGGUGAGGGGACCCCAAAAACGACCCUAAAAGGACCCUAAAUGACCCUAAAUGGCCCUAAAUGGCCCUAAAUGGACCCUAAAUGACCCUAAAUGGCCCUAAAAUGACCCUAAAUGGCACCAAAUGGCCCUAAAAUGGCCCUAAAUGGUCCUAAAUGGACUCUAAAUGGACCCGAAAUGAACCCAAAGGCACUGCGCCGCCCCAUUCCUGGUGAGGGGACCCCAAAAACGACCCUAAAAGGAUCCUAAAUGACCCUAAAUGGCCCCAAAUGGCCCUAAAUGACCCCAAAUGGCCCCAAAAUGGUCCUAAAUGGCCCCAAAAGGGACCCUAAAACGACCCUAAAUGAACCCAAAGGCACUGCGCCGCCCCAUUCCUGGUGAGGGGACCCCAAAAACGACCCCAAAAACGACCCUAAAAGGACCCUAAAUGGCCCUAAAUGACCCUAAAUGGCCCUAAAUGGCCUUAAAUGGUCCUAAAUGGUCCUAAAAUGGACCCUAAAUGGACCCAAAUAGCCCCAAAAGGGACCCUAAAUGGACCCUAAAUGAACCCAAAGGCACUGCG
ensembl:lncRNA